UGUGGUCGGUCGUCGUAGGCGUUGUGUGAUAAUUAAAUUAAAGAAGCAAGCAAACUCACCGCAAUUUUAUUCAGGCGAGAAUUUGAUGAACUUCUAACAAGCAAUUGGCAGAGAAGAAAGAGAUCCGUUUUCAAACUGUGAAUUCGUUAAUUGAUGGAAAGUAUUGGUGGUUUUCUUAUGCGCCUUGCUGAUGGACUGCUUACAAAACAAUAUCAUUGGAUUCUCUGCUAUAAGGCGAUAUGAUGGAUGCCCUUCCUUUGUUCGUUAUUCCCUUAAGACACACAUGACAACCAAGAAUUGCUGUUGUCAAAAUUAUUAUUAUUGUUUGCCUGAUGAGAUGAAGACAAGAAAGAGCUUUGGCUGAAAAACGUGAAAAGCAAUGUUACAAUUCGUUCGUUGAAGUUUGGUGAAGAAGCCAUUAUCUUUAAAGCGAUGUGCGGAUAUAAUCAACAACAACUCGAUUUUCACGUUUGCCAGCGUCAGGAAUACGUCUAAAAAGUUUUGACACCGCCAUACACGAAGUAUAAUGUUUACGAAGCGCAAAGCCACAUGUUGUGACAAGCUGAUGAAAAAGCUUGAGUAUCUGUUCAAGGAUUAUCGACGGUGGGAAUAUUUAUUAAAAUGUUUUUUUUUCUCAUUCCUUUUUUUUUUGCUUUAGAUGAUCAUCAUGUGGUACAAGGCCUGCUCCUUUUCCCUCCCUUUAGCUAGGUGCGCUGAGAGAAGGUCCCUGACAAAGGACGGGUUGCGUGUUCUUCGGAGCUCGCUUUAACGUAACGUGGUCAUGUCGGACUAGAGCGCCCCAUUAGGCUCCCGCAAUGAAAUUUUCUGAUAAAGAUACAUUCUUAGAUAAUUAAGUCAAGCAGUUAAGUUAAGAAAAUUUUCUUUGUUUGUCUGAGGGAGCAAGAUAAAAGGGUCUAUGUUAUUGUGUGUAGUUGGUGUCAUUGUAAGGUUUAAGCUGGUGAGUUUAGCCUUGAAGGUCAAUACGGGGACAUGUAUCUUUGCCAAGACGUCAACAAAUCCAUUAAGCCCACUUCCAUCUCAGCAACAAUGAAAGAAACUUGCGUUGCUGAGCUCUGCUGGCUGGGUGGCGUCACCGCACAUUGACCCAGCUACCCAAUGACUUCCCUGAAUUUUCAUUAUGUGAAAAC